rnacentral:rRNA from 1 species
UACGGGGGGGGUAAGCGUUGUUCGGAAUUACUGGGCGUAAAGGGCUCGUAGGCGGCCACCUAAGUCAUACGUGAAAUCCCUCAGCUUAACUGGGGAACUGCGUGUGAUACUGGAUGGCUUGGAUUUGGGAGAGGGAUGCGGAAUUCCAGGUGUAGCGGUGAAAUGCGUAGAUAUCUGGAGGAACACCGGUGGCGAAGGCGGCAUCCUGGACCAACACUGACGCUGAGGAGCGAAAGCCAGGGGAGCAAACGGG